rnacentral:rRNA from 1 species
CAGCAGCCGCGGUAAUACAGAGGGUGCGAGCGUUAAUCGGAUUUACUGGGCGUAAAGCGUGCGCAGGCGGUUUUGUAAGACAGAGGUGAAAUCCCCGGGCUCAACCUGGGAACUGCCUUUGUGACUGCAAGGCUAGAGUACGGCAGAGGGGGAUGGAAUUCCGCGUGUAGCAGUGAAAUGCGUAGAUAUGCGGAGGAACACCGAUGGCGAAGGCAAUCCCCUGGGCCUGUACUGACGCUCAUGCACGAAAGCGUGGGGAGCAAACAGGAUUAGAUACCCGCGUAGUCCCUGUCUCUUAUAC